rnacentral:rRNA from 1 species
AUUGAACGCUGGCGGCAUGCCUUACACAUGCAAGUCGAACGGCAGCACGGGGCAACCUGGUGGCGAGUGGCGAACGGGUGAGUAAUGCAUCGGAACGUACCUUUCAGUGGGGGAUAACGUAGCGAAAGUUACGCUAAUACCGCAUAUUCUGUGAGCGGGAAAGCAGGGGAUCGCAAGACCUUGCGCUGAUUGAGCGGCCGAUGUCAGAUUAGCUAGUUGGUGAGGUAAAGGCUCACCGAGGCGACGAUCUGUAGCGGGUCUGAGAGGAUGAUCCGCCACACUGGAACUGAGACACGGUCCAGACUCCUACGGGAGGCAGCAGUGGGGAAUUUUGGACAAUGGGGGCAACCCUGAUCCAGCCAUGCCGCGUGAGUGAAGAAGGCCUUCGGGUUGUAAAGCUCUUUCGGCCGGGAAGAAAUCGCACGGGCUAAUACCCUGUGUGGAUGACGGUACCGGAAUAAGAAGCACCGGCUAACUACGUGCCAGCAGCCGCCGUAAGAC